rnacentral:rRNA from 1 species
UACGAAGGGGGCUAGCGUUGCUCGGAAUCACUGGGCGUAAAGGGCGCGUAGGCGGCCAGCACAAGUCAGUUGUGAAAUCUCCGGGCUUAACUCGGAAAGGUCAACUGAUACUGUGCGGCUAGAGUGCAGAAGGGGCAACUGGAAUUCUCGGUGUAGCGGUGAAAUGCGUAGAUAUCGAGAGGAACACCUGCGGCGAAGGCGGGUUGCUGGGCUGACACUGACGCUGAUGCGCGAAAGCGUGGGGAGCGAACAGG